GGGUUGUGAGGUUAAGCGACUAAGCGUACACGGUGGAUGCCCUGGCAGUCAGAGGCGAUGAAGGACGUGCUAAUCUGCGAUAAGCGUCGGUAAGGUGAUAUGAACCGUUAUAACCGGCGAUUUCCGAAUGGGGAAACCCAGUGUGAUUCGUCACACUAUCAUUAACUGAAUCCAUAGGUUAAUGAGGCGAACCGGGGGAACUGAAACAUCUAA
rnacentral:rRNA from 2 species